rnacentral:rRNA from 1 species
GUCGUUUGGUUUGUGAGUCUAUCAUGCAGUCGAGCGAACAGACAAGGAGCUUGCUCCUUUGACGUUAGCGGCGGACGGGUGAGUAACACGUGGGUAACCUACCUAUAAGACUGGGAUAACUUCGGGAAACCGGAGCUAAUACCGGAUAAUAUUUCGAACCGCAUGGUUCGAUAGUGAAAGAUGGUUUUGCUAUCACUUAUAGAUGGACCCGCGCCGUAUUAGCUAGUUGGUAAGGUAACGGCUUACCAAGGCGACGAUACGUAGCCGACCUGAGAGGGUGAUCGGCCACACUGGAACUGAGACACGGUCCAGACUCCUACGGGAGGCAGCAGUAGGGAAUCUUCCGCAAUGGGCGAAAGCCUGACGGAGCAACGCCGCGUGAGUGAUGAAGGUCUUCGGAUCGUAAAACUCUGUUAUUAGGGAAGAACAUACGUGUAAGUAACUAUGCACGUCUUGACGGUACCUAAUCAGAAAGCCACGGCUAACUACGUGCCAGCAGCCGCGGUAAUACGUAGGUGGCAAGCGUUAUCCGGAAUUAUUGGGCGUAAAGCGCGCGUAGGCGGUUUUUUAAGUCUGAUGUGAAAGCCCACGGCUCAACCGUGGAGGGUCAUUGGAAACUGGAAAACUUGAGUGCAGAAGAGGAAAGUGGAAUUCCAUGUGUAGCGGUGAAAUGCGCAGAGAUAUGGAGGAACACCAGUGGCGAAGGCGACUUUCUGGUCUGUAACUGACGCUGAUGUGCGAAAGCGUGGGGGAUCAAACAGGAUUAGAUACCCUGGUAGUCCACGCCGUAAACGAUGAGUGCUAAGUGUUAGGGGGUUUCCGCCCCUUAGUGCUGCAGCUAACGCAUUAAGCACUCCGCCUGGGGAGUACGGACCGCAAGGUUGAACUCAAGGGAUUUGACGGGGACCCGCACAAGCGGUGGAGCAUGUGGUUUAUUUCGGAGCAACGCGAAGAACCUUACCAAUCUUGACAUCCUUUGGACAACUCUAGAGAAUAGAGCCUUCCCCUUCGGGGACAAAUGACCAGGUGUGCAUGUGUCGUCAGCUCUGUCGUGGAAUGUGGUUAGGUCCCGCAACGAGCGCACCCUUAAGCUAGUGGCAUCAUAAGGUGGGCACUCUAAGGUGGACUGCGGUUACAAACGAGAAGGUGGGAUGCUCAAUCUACUGCUAGAUUGCUCACACGGUCUACAUGGACAAUCCAGGUGCACGGCAAA